rnacentral:lncRNA from 1 species
GGAAAGGGGUGUGGCGGGGGGAGCGGGACAACACAGGACCUUGAGUUGCGGUUGGGGGAUGAGCAUCCAGGGAGGGGAGCUGGAGUCCCCUCAGGAAGGGAAGGGGCAGCACAUGAGCGUGUGGCAGGAAAGGAGUAGAAGCUGGGCCUGCAGACAGCUCCCUUGAGGUUGGAGCAGGCAGACCCAGUUACCCACUUGGCUGCUGGGAACUCCUGCUUCCUGGGUAAGCCAUGCCAGGCCGUCUGGGGGCUGAUGGAAGCUUCCUAAGAACCCGUUCCUAUCCCCGCCAAAUUCUAGGUGCUGUUUUGUACACUGCAGAAUUCCAGCCACCACAUCCCAGGAGCUCAGCGGGAAGUUAGAAACCUGGCUGGACACUAGCACUUAUUCCACAAGAGAGGGACACACGAGGAAACGAGCAAUGCUGCUAUCAGAGAAGCCGGCGGCUGGCACCAGCUCAGGGAGCCCCUUAGUGGGCCCUGACCACUGCCCUUCAUGUAGCCUCCGG